AGAUGUUUCGCACAUGAAAGGAAGUUGUUACGGAAAGUUCCCGCUGAACAGAAAGGUUCUCUUGGUUGCAAGUUUUUUAAAGAAUUUAAAGACUAUCAAAAUCGUUAUAAUUGCAACCAAGAGCCCGAAAAAGACCUAACUCUAAAGACCGUGAAGAGAAGAGGAUUGUUAGAUACCGGGCCAUAUUAGCAUAGGUAAGAUUACAAAAUGGAUAUUUUAUGGGUCCAAUAUGAAAAUUACACAAAACUUUUAUUCGGAUUAUUCCUACAAAACUUUUAUGUUACAGUAGUCCAUUUGCCAAUUCCCAUAAUUGAUCCUGUAGUAGAAACUUUCUUUUUAAGUUGUCUCACUUAGGAGGGACAAUAAUUUUCAUUGACAAUGUAGAGCUAGCAGAAAGAGCAAAUUUACCUGUGCUUACUGUAAGUAAUUUAAAAGCUUUUGAAUUUUUUUAAUAAUACAUUUAUUUGUUGUUUAGCUUCAAAUGUAAAUACUUACGACAUCAGAAAUUAUUUUUGAUUUAUUAUACUUUGCAUAGAACCUGAGUCCAAGAUUGACAAAGGGAAUUAAUUUGUUUAAAAAGUGUGAAAUAACAGAAUGAAAUCGGUAAUUGGCCAAUGGACUAUUCGAGGUAUUCUUUCAAAUUAAGUUAUAUAGUUUAAACAUAGUGAUAAAGUUUACAAGUAUGUUUUUUAUAAUAUUAUUGAUUUUGAACAAUGAAAAAAAAGAUAAAAAAAGGUGGUUUUAAAAAAAUGUUAAAAGAAAUUUUAGUUUAUUUAAAUCUUUUAUCAUUGUCUCUAAUUUAUAAAAGUCUAAAAAGAUGUAAGUUGUUGGAACGGGGACAGCAAAGAAAACAUAAAUUAAACUGGUUAGGAAAUAUAAAUAUUCAUAUUAUCGCUUGCUUAACAUGGAAGUCGGGUAACAAAUGGCUUUUUUGUAUAUUAAUUUAAGUACAAACAAAGCAAAAAUGUAUUUGCAUACCUGUUAUUUUUAUAAUAAAUAGAUAUUUCUAAUGCAAUUAUUUUGUAUAAAUGAUUCUGAUUGGAUGACAGUUAGCAGAAAAUUAUCUUUCUCCUUGUCUGUAACUAAGGAAGCCGACAUUUUGAAUUGCUGAAUUUAUUGACAUGUAAUUUUUACAUUAAUAAGCAAAAAAACUCACAUGUUGCACCUAAAAAUCUACUUUUUAUCAAACUUUAUUACAUUCUAAAGCGGCACAGAAACCAGAAAACACCCGGUAUUUAUGUUUGACGCCAGAAGCAUACCUAAUACGUCACCUAGUGUAGGGACCAAAGACGAUAACAUCUUUUCUCUGAAUUUUCUUUAAUGAAGAUUUUACACCGAAAUAAUGAUUGAAAUUUAAUUAUGAACUUGUUUUGCAUUAGAAUAGAGAUAACUGUAUGCUUAAAAUACAAUACAGCUUAAUUGAAUGAUCAACUAAAAUAGUAAAUGAACUUCUUUAUUUCUCUUUUCAGAUGAAGAAACUUGAUGAUAUAGA
rnacentral:lncRNA from 1 species